rnacentral:rRNA from 1 species
GAUGAACGCUGGCGGCGUGCCUAAUACAUGCAAGUCGAGCGAACAGAUAAGGAGCUUGCUCCUUUGACGUUAGCGGCGGACGGGUGAGUAACACGUGGGUAACCUACCUAUAAGACUGGAAUAACUCCGGGAAACCGGGGCUAAUGCCGGAUAACAUGUUGAACCGCAUGGUUCUACAGUGAAAGGCGGCUUUGCUGUCACUUAUAGAUGGACCCGCGCCAUAUUAGCUAGUUGGUGAGGUAACGGCUCACCAAGGCAACGAUACGUAGCCGACCUGAGAGGGUGAUCGGCCACACUGGAACUGAGACGCGGUCCAGACUCCUACGGGAGGCAGCAGUAGGGAAUCUUCCGCAAUGGGCGAAAGCCUGACGGAGCAACGCCGCGUGAGUGAUGAAGGUCUUCGGAUCGUAAAACUCUGUUAUUAGGGAAGAACAAAUGCGUAAGUAACUGUGCGCGUCUUGACGGUACCUAAUCAGAAAGCCACGGCUAACUACGUG